rnacentral:lncRNA from 1 species
AUGAUGCUUAUUUCUGGCUUUGUACCUUUAUAUGGUUUCCUUUCUUCCAAGAUCACCCUCUUGCUGUCUCUGCUUGUGAAAGUGCUUGCUGCUGCUUGCUCAAGGAGUGGAUCACAUUGCCUGUCCUUUAUGAAGUCCUUCGCUGUUGUUUUAUGCUCUUGUUGGCAUCAUCUACUUCAGAUAUGGGGUAUAUGAAGCAAAAAAACGAAAUCACCGAAACUUCCUAUUUGUGCUGCUGCUCUUCUUGGACUGAAGCUCACAGCCUGCCUGCCACCUCUUUCUAAUUUUUUAAAUGUGAUCUUCUCCAGCCUACCAGAUGAACAAAUAACAAAACCUAGCCUUCUCAUGUUUAUGUGUAAUAUCCCCAUUUUUAUGUAUCUAUUUUACUGCCAGAAAAAUAUAUCCCUAGAAGAGUUAGUAUUAGACAUUCUCACUUCCCAUGGGGUAAUUUUUUUAGUUCAUAUAAAAUAUGAAUUGCAAGAAAAAGAAAUCUGCUGUAUAUAAUUCCUAUCUUAAAAGUUGUUUGACUUGUGUAUCUUUUUCUGAGUGCUUACUCCAAGUCUUCUAAUGGACUAGAUACCAGGUUGUUGUCUAGGGACUAUAUUUUUUUUCCUCUUUUUAAAAUUUAAUUUAGAAACAAGCUUGUUUUACCUGUCAAUCCAAGUUCUCACUCCCUCCCCUCCUCCCCUGCCCACCAGCUCUCUCUCCCAUCCCCUUUCUCCUCCCCAGGGAGGGUGAGGCCUUCCGUGGGGGAAUCUUCAAAGUCUGUAGGGACUAUAUUUUGACUACUGUUGCCUGGUAUUAGCUGC